UCUUCCUUGGUCUAGUGGUCAGGAUACCUGCUUGUCAUUGAGCAGCUCGCAGGUGGCCGGGGUUCGAUUCCCCGAGGGAGAG
rfam:Pseudallescheria apiosperma strain IHEM 14462 SEQ_SAPIO_0132, whole genome shotgun sequence.